AUUGAACGCUGGCGGCAGGCCUAACACAUGCAAGUCGAACGCGUGGCGGCCGGGUGAGUAAUGUCUGGGAAACUGCCUGAUUGAGGGGGAUAACUACUGGAAACGGUAGCUAAUACCGCAUACCAUCAGAUGUGCCCAGAUGGGAUUGGCUUGUUGGUGGGGUAACGGCUCACCAAGGGGCCGAUCCCUAGCUGGUCUGAGAGGAUGACCAGCCACACUGAAACUGAGACCCGGUCCAGACUACUACGGGAGGCAGCAGUGGGGGAUAUUGCACUAUGGGCGCAAACCAGAUGCAGCCAUGCCGAGUGUAUGAAGAAGGCCUUCGGGUUGUAAAGUACUUUCAGCGGGGAGGCGUUACCCGCAGAAGAAGCACCGUCUAACUCCGUGCCAGCAGCCGCGGUAAUUC
rnacentral:rRNA from 1 species